UCUCUCUAAUUUUUCAUGGUCGCCAACUCUUGAAGCAUUACACAUGAGAGCAUCAACACCAGGCUUGCUCUGGUGAUGAGGAGUGGCAAGUACACUCUAGGGUACAUGACAGUCGUAACUCCAAAGGGAAGUUGAUUAUAAUUUCAAACAACUGCCCUCCUCUGCGAAAGUCUGAAAUCGAAUACUACGCUAUGCUUGC